rnacentral:rRNA from 1 species
AAUGAACGCUGGCGGCAGGCUUAACACAUGCAAGUCGAGCGAGCGGCGGCCGGGUGAGAAAUGUCUGGGACACUGCCUGAUGGAGGGGGAUAACUCCUGGAAACGGUAGCUAAUACCGCAUAGCACCAGAUGUGCCCAGAUGGUAUUAGCUAGUAGGUGGGGUAAUGGCUCACCAAGGCAACGAUCCCUAGCUGGUCUGAGAGGAUGAACGGCCACACUGGAACGGAGACACGUUCCAGACUCCUACGGGAGGCAGCAGUGGGGAAUAUUGCGCAAUGGGCGCAAGCCUGAUGCAGCCAUGCCGCGUGAGUGAAGAAGGCCUUCGGGUUGUAAAGCACUGUCAGCGAGGAAGCGUUACUCGCAGAGUAAGCACCGGCUAACUCCGUGCCAGCCGCCGCGGUAAUUC